rnacentral:lncRNA from 1 species
CAAAUUUUACCACUUAGUGCAAAUCUAAGGGUUCCUAUUUAUACUGAGUGAUCUACAGAGAGAAGGAGAGGAGAAGAAGAAAAAAAGUGUAGGAAAACUUCGACAUUUCGGUACGAAAUUUAGUAUUUCCUUAAACAUCUUAAACAUUUCUAGAAAUCAAAAUUAUGAAUUUUGAGUUUUAUGUUUUGCAUGAUUUAUGUUUAAUAGUUCU